AUGGAGGCCACUCUUCUGAGCGUGGGCAAGACCGUGCUGAAUGGGGCUAUUGGCUACGCACGGUCCACCAUCGCCGAGGAGGUUGCUUUGCAGCUCGGAGUGCGGCGGGAUCAGGCCUUCAUCACCGAUGAGCUGGAGAUGAUGCAGGGUUUCCUUAUGGCCGGGAACGCCGAGGGAAACAACAGCGAGGUCGUCACGAUCUGGGUCAAGCAAGUCAGGGACGUGUCCUACGAGGUAGAGGACUGCCUCCUGGACUUCGCUGUCCGUCUAGAGAAGCAAUCUUGGUGGCGAAUCCCUCGCACGCUGCUGGAUCGGCGUCAUGUCGCCCAGCGGAUGCUGGAGCUCCGGGUGAAGGUUGAAGAAGUCAACAAGCGAAACUUGCGCUACAACCUCGUCAACGGCGCCUCUGGCUCCAAUCCCACCUCCGCCGCCGCCAACAGGCCGAUGUUUGGCGUUGACGAGUCAAGGCGUGUCGCUAUGCUCGACAAGGCAAAUGCGAAUCUGGUCAAACUCAUCAACAAGAAGGAUCAUGACCUUAGAGUGAUCGCAUUGUGGGGAACCGGCGGUGAUCUCGGUCUGGUGUCCAUCAUCAGAGCAUCCUACGAGGAUACGGAUCUCAAACUGAAGUUCCCAUGUCGAGCAUGGGUCAGGGUGAUGCAUCCUUUCAGUCCAAAGCAAUUUGUGCAGACAUUACUCAGGCAGUUCCGCACAGCCGUCCUAGGUGUUGACGUUCUGCUGGAGACGGAGAAGACAGGGCAAGAUUUGGCUCAGGAGUUCAAAAGAUACAGUAUGUCAAUGAAAAGAGUUACCUGA
rnacentral:rRNA from 1 species